CUGGGAGUCUCUGAGCGCCGGGAUUUCCUUACAGAAUCCGGCACUUUCCGCACGCAGUAGUUACCUAGUACCGCUAGCCCUGCACGUUUCUUUCCCAGAUUUUAAUUUACAAUGUUUGUUUUUGCACUCUUUUUUUUUGUACCCACUAAGUGCAAAAGCACAUGCUAGGUACCAGGAAGGCGGGGCUAGGUACGGUGACGAACGAGAAUGGGCCCCAGCCGUAAAAGGAACUGGUGGGCCAACGGGGAAGGCCGACCUGCACGUGUGGGACGCAAGGAAGUGGCUGUUCCGGUUUCUUUCUGAUGGGCAAGCACUUUGCAAGGACUUGAGCUGUGUUUUCACUGUGUUUGUGGUAAAGUCUCAUCGUCCAAGAGAUUUCCCACUUCCGAUGAAGUCCAUACAUUUAUAUUUAUUGUAAGUCUGCAAAAGAUUCCCAAUUACCCAGCAACUGAACCAAAGAUUUGGUGACUUUUCUGAAAUAAAAGAGAAAAAAAAUGAUUUCUCUUAUUUAAGUAGCAUUUCUCUACUUUCCACUUAAGAAAAUCAUUUCAGAAAGUUGAUGUUUGUGGUAAAAAAAAA